UUCCCAUUUGUGCUGUGCAUUUCAGUGAUGAAAAGUGCUGUUGUGGCCAUUCUGCCGAAGGAAAAUCAGGACAAUGGCAGUGGGACAAUGAGUGGGAAACGUGUGGCAGCCAUUGGAGGGGGACAGUGGGUGCUUGGGCCAUUGCCAUAAACAUAGUGACCUUCAUGGAAUGGGUCCCUGAGAGGCUCUAGCAAAACAGGAAUGGGAUUUCAGGCUGAGCGUUGCUCACCUCUCCUGUUAAAUCAGCCCUGUGCACGAUGUGCUUGUCACAGCCUUCAACAAGCCUUUCAAAGGUGGCCAGGUGGUUGGAGGAACGUGGUGGCAGAUCUGAAAUCUCUCUUGCUUUGUUACUUAUUGCCUCCAAUUAUUAGCUAGUUAUGACAAAUUAUUGUGAUUAGGUGUGGGUUCUCAGCUGUGGAGGUGUGCUGGAGCUGCAAGACCAGCUGUGAGCUUUAGGAGCACCCUAACUAGUGAGGUCUCUCUGCUAUAAGAAGCUGAGUAUGGGGGAAGGCCUUUUGGGGUAGGUAAAGUACCAAGCACAGGGAAAUAUUGAGGCUGAACCAGAAGACCCCGUGCUUGGGGUGUGUGUGACUAGGACGGUGGGGUGUGAUCCCUGCAAAGAAAUCAAAGCCUUUUUUCUUGCCUUUUUUAUUCUUCUCCCAGUCACUCAAGCCGUAUGUCUGUGUGAUUACAAAAGUGGAGCAUUUCUUAUCCCCAGUGUUAAGUGGAACCAGUCUGGCUGAGCUGAGUAGAAACGCAGUGACUAGUGCUGGGGCCGUUACUGGCUGUGUAUGGGGAGGCAUCCUCUGGAGAUGGAUCGGGCAGAACAAGCAAACCAUGACAUUCAGCCGUUACGUCUGCAAGCAGAUCUGCGGCUACUUCCUGCAGUUGUCCAUGGUGUUUCUCAUUGACGAAAGCCCACAAUGCCUGUGGAGUCUGUGCACUGCCGUACGAGGAGCAUCCUCAGUGCUUGUUGCAGCAAUUCCCUGCCUCGGUGUGCGGUUCAGCUGAAGCUGUCCUUUCACACGUUUUUGUCAUUAAUGCAGCUAAAUCUCCCUCCUCCAAAGAUGCUUCACCUUUUCCAUUUCUCCUGUGAUUUUUUUCUGCUAUAGCUUCUUUUUCAUUUGUGUUUCCCUUUGGGCACUUCAGGCCCUCCACGAAGAUUGAUCAUGCACCUCCACAAGCAGUCAAGUGUAAGCAAACAUAAGUUUGGAGCCCCAAAUGCCAGGCUGGAGCCAGAGCCAGGCAUAAAGAAGGAAGGAUGAGGGUUAAAACAAAUAAUUAGGAAGCCAGCCCCACAGAAUUAGCCUUGCUAGCCCCCCUGCCACUGUGAAAAGAAAGACAGACACAGAGACUGAUGCUGUGAAACUAGACCUGGCCAUAGGAUUUGGCCAGGAUCAGAGGGGGACUGCCAAAAGUGGUAACAAGAAAAAGCUGUAAGGUAACAGCGAUGUGGUAGACUAGACCUCAGCCUGUGAGGCUGAGCACAGAAAAACAGAGGGGAGAGCAAAAUGUGGAUCCCAUACCUA
rnacentral:lncRNA from 1 species